UCCUGUUCCAACGACGUGGAUAGAUACGGUCGUGCACCGGACGCACAGUGUGACACAAGGUGUUCUGGCGAUGCCAGCGCCCUCUGUGGCGGAGACCACCGCUAUUCUGUAUGGAGGACGUGGGAAGUACGUUGCCCUGCAGUGCCCUCUGUUGGCAAUACCUCGGCCUCCAGUGUGAACAGGGACCACAAUGCCCGGAUCACGUACAGUUGCCUUCCAGGCUUUCAGUGGCCAGCGGGAACACUGGAGGAACACAAAUCCAUCACAUGUCAAGUCAAUAAAUGGACAGCCACGCCCCCUGCUUGUGAAGCUGUGCAAUGCACUGGGAACCCAGUGGCAGUCUCCAAUGCCACCGUGACGCAGUCUGGCCACAGAUACCUAGAUGUCGCCACGUACACGUGUAUAGGGAACCACGCCUUCCAGGAU